UACGAAGGGGGCUAGCGUUGUUCGGAAUUACUGGGCGUAAAGCGUGCGUAGGUGGUUAUUUAAGUCGGGUGUGAAAGCCCCGGGCUCAACCUGGGAAUUGCAUUCGAGACUGAAUAGCUAGGGUACGGUAGAGGGAAGCGGAAUUUCCGGUGUAGCGGUGAAAUGCGUAGAUAUCUGGAGGAACACCGGUGGCGAAGGCGGCAUCCUGGACCGGUAUUGACGCUGAGGCGCGAAAGCUAGGGGAGCAAACGGG
rnacentral:rRNA from 1 species